rnacentral:lncRNA from 1 species
CCUUUUCAAAAAUCUAGUGCUAUAUUUUUUUCUACAACUUCGACUCGAGUAACUCGAAUCAACUUGAUCUACUACUCGAUGCUUUAAUUUUCUAUUCUAGAUAAUUAUUUUUCUGCCAUUCUUCAUCUAAGUUGACUCGGGUGAAAUUUGAGUCGACUCGAGGACGUGCCAACUAAAAUAUUUGCAUGUCAGAACUUUCUUUACUUUUGAUUUUCAGCUGGAGUCGACUCAAAUUCUGCUUG